GCUCGAUUUCUCCAUUAAUGAUGAUGAUUUUUGUAUAGAUUUUGAAUUUUUUUCUAGUAUAAGUUGGAAUUACCGAAUGGGUUCUUCAAUUGGAUUUCUGAUUUAAUUUCUUAUACUUCUUAUUCUUUAUGAAUUGGGAUAAAAUUUGAGUUUAUUGAUUCUUAGAUUGUUGUGUUAAUCAUCAGUUCUGAUGGUAGAUGGUAGCAUUUUAUAUGAAAUUAUCAGUAUUGAAGUAUUUGUCUUUUGUGAUUUCUAUGUCAAAAAUCACAUUUAAAACAUUAUGGUUAAGAUUUCAAAAUGAGCAAGUAAUUUUAUUCUUUCCUUUUCCUCCGUCAUAUUACUCUGAUUAAAUGGUUUAACAUGCUUCAUGCUGCCUUAGUUUCCUUGUGUUUAACGUUAAACAUCUUUUGGGUUGAAAAUUUCUAACAGCUACAAAUUUGAUAUCUAAUGUCAUAUGUUCUUAAAGUAAGAACCAUGUGGUGUUUGGCUUGAGCUGAAAGUGGAAAUGAAUACUCUUAGGUUACUUGUUAACUAUAAGAAAAAACUUAUAUAUAUAAAUGAGGAUCCUCAGCCUGAUGACGUGACGCCAUAGCAAGCGAGGAAUCCCCUUUUAAUCAAUCUAAAUUUACUGAUCCCAUCCCAUCCGGCACUCAAAACAUAAACUGCGUCUUCCCCUCUUCUCUUUGAAGUUGUUCAAAAUGAACAGAAACAACAUCUUCCCCUUCAGCCUCAACAGAACUCAACCUCCACUCUAUCGAUUCCUUUUUAAACGCCACUACGAAUACCUACGACCUAUCAACUUGCCGUGUUCUCUUUCCCUAUUGCCAUGUCCAUGCAUUUAAAAAGAACCACUGGCCCACUACUCUGCCAUGACACUUUUUUUCUUUCUGAUAUGUCAAGCUCUUUCCCAUACAAUAUAUUUACCUUCUGAAGGUUUUUUUUAAAAAAAAUCUACCUGCUGCAAUUCCCCCCACUACCGAUACAUUUUUAACUUCGCCGCUCCCAAAAUACCGCUAACAAUAUUUUUUCCCUUUCCGUUAAUUGUCCAGAUAGUUACUUCCGACAUCUCCCUUUUACCUUAAUUGACAUUGAAAACCCCAAUAGAGUUGUGAAACAAUAGAGCUAGAGGCUUGGAACUUUAUGAAUAUUAUGUAUAGUUACAUGCCUUUCAUGUUAUUAUGAUACAGUCGCCUUUGUUUAUUUUCGUUCAUCUCUUAAACAAUCUUUCGCACCAACACAAUUAAUUUCAACAGUUCUCCUUAAAUGCCUUAGAAGUUGUGAACACUGCCGCUCCAAAUCCUUACGCACCAUCAAAUUGUGAUACUUAAUAAAGUUCAAAAAGGUUUCUAAGGCUAACAUCACCAUGGAGCUCUUACCUGGAAAUUGAAAGAUUAGAGUAUGGUUGAAAUUUUAUUUCUGACCUCUUCGUGUUUAAGGUUAAUGGGUGAAAAUGACUUCAAGAACUUUAUAGCUGUCACUUCACUUUUUGAAUCUCCCUUUGUAUGCAUGCCUGGUCGCUUCGAACUCUAUGCAUAUAUAAAAACAAAUUCAUGUAUUUCUACUUAUUGCAUUAUAGCCGCCUUUGUUUAUCAUAGCUCAUCUCUUAGCCAAUAUUUAGGACCGAUACAAUUAACACCAUCAAUUCUCCCCAGCUGCCUAAAGAGUUGAGCAUCAUGCCCUCCAAAAUCCCUACGCACCAUCCAGGUAUGCUUCUUUGUAAAGUUUUACUUGGUUGCUAAUACUUCACUACCCACAAAGCUGUUAUCUAGAAAAGAAAAUGUCCAUGAAGCAUACAAAACACCGUUUUGGCAAAACUCUAUCUACCCCUGUCUUUACUUUCCCUCCGUAAUAUUUCGUUUCACCUCUUUAAUCACUCUUCUUCAUCUCUAAAUUCUCCUACACUGCGCUUAAAAUAAACUACGUAAAUUCAAGUCCAUAAAUUCCCAUAGGUUAUCCAAAGAUGGCUCUUCAUUGUUCAGACUUCAUGCUUAAUAGCGGUUAACCUCAAUUUAAGUCCGUCCUAAACUAUAUAUGCCUUCCUAUUAGAACUUUCCCCUGUCAUACAUACUCACUUUAGAUUGCAUUACGCCUUUAGUCGGGAAGGCAAUUUUGUUCGAGCUAGCAGACUUCAAGAAAAUAAUUAUGUUCAAGCUUAAAAACUUCAAGAAGACGAUCAUUGUAAUCUAGACUAACAUGGUGCAUGGAAGAUCUGUAUGUUAAAAUUUAUAUUAUAGUGCAUUAUUCUGUUAUCAGUUUAUGGCCAAAAGGCUUUGUGAUUACUGUCUAUGGUAUUUAGAAGCCUAAUUGGCAAAAGACAACUGUUAUCACAAUUGGCUACAACUAUUUAAACUAUCCAUGAAAGGUAUCAAAGUUGUAACUUUUGUUCUUUGAUCUGGAAAUUAUAAAUGAUUCCAUUAACAAUACAAUAAUUGUAACUGCUUACACAACUACUUUGAAGAUAUAUUUUGACCAGCAGGCUGUUGAAUUGGUUGGGAUGAGAGUUUGUUUUGUUCAACUUUACAUGACCAUUUAUUGUGUUUGUCUUAAUGUCUCAUGGCAACUUUGGUUUAAUAACUUUAGUAAAUCUGAAUGUUUGAGUAAAUAGAUAAGAUCAUGUGUUGAGCAUUCAGUUGUGAACAUAGAAUUGAAUAUGAACAGAUGCAGCCAAGAAAAUAUUACUUAGAUUAUGCGACUGAAACUUUCUUAUGACAAAUUAAUGUCAAUGAAGUUGUCUUUUAAUCUCCUUUAUAGUUUUCGGAUCAAAUUAUUCCCUCUAACUUUUUUUCUCUCUUCUUGUUUUGCAUGUAUACUUUUAUCAAAUGGAAUCUCAAAUGAGAUUUCCUUUUUUGCAACUUCCAUGUAGUUGGCUGGCCGCCUCAAAAUUUUCCUCUAAUUCACUGUUUUAUUCACAUUUCAUGUCAUGUUGAGUGUUGAAAUUUAGUAAUCAUGGUUAAAUAAUUGCUUGGUGAUGUGUUGCCUCUCUCUCCACUAAUGGUCCUUCGUCACUAUUUACCAGAUGCAGAAUUUUGCAGAUUAAAGAACCCGAUGUUGAAGAAUUGUGGAGACAACUUAAAAGAAUUAUAUAUUUAUUAUUUUAUUAUUGGUGUAGGGACAUUAUUUGUACCUAUGCUACAAUUUCUUUUCCUCAAUUUUCAGGAUUUGAUAGAUGUCAAACAUUUAUAUUUUAUAAUAUUAUUUCGAACAUGUAUGUUAUUUAGAUCUUA